AUUGAACGCUGGCGGCAGGCCUAGCACAUGCAAGUCGAGCGGAUGAAGGGAGCUUGCUCCUGGAUUCAGCGGCGGACGGGUGAGUAAUGCCUAGGAAUCUGCCUGGUAGUGGGGGAUAACGUCCGGAAACGGGCGCUAAUACCGCAUACGUCCUGAGGGAGAAAGUGGGGGAUCUUCGGACCUCACGCUAUCAGAUGAGCCUAGGUCGGAUUAGCUAGUUGGUGGGGUAAAGGCCUACCAAGGCGACGAUCCGUAACUGGUCUGAGAGGAUGAUCAGUCUCACUGGAACUGAGACACGGUCCAGACUCCUACGGGAGGCAGCAGUGGGGAAUAUUGGACAAUGGGCGAAAGCCUGAUCCAGCCAUGCCGCGUGUGUGAAGAAGGUCUUCGGAUUGUAAAGCACUUUAAGUUGGGAGGAAGGGCAGUAAGUUAAUACCUUGCUGUUUUGACGUUACCAGCAGAAUAAGCACCGGCUAACUUCGUG
rnacentral:rRNA from 1 species